rnacentral:rRNA from 1 species
GACGAACGCUGGCGGCGUGCUUAACACAUGCAAGUCGAACGGAAAGGCCCUGCUUGCCGGGUACUCGAGUGGCGAACGGGUGAGUAACACUUGGGUGAUCUGCCCUGCACUUCGGGAUAAGCCUGGGAAACUGGGUCUAAUACCGGAUAGGAGCCAUUUUUAGUGUGAUGGUUGGAAAGUUUUUUCGGUGUAGGAUGAGCUCGCGGCCUAUCAGCUUGUUGGUGGGGUAAUGGCCUACCAAGGCGGCGACGGGUAGCCGGCCUGAGAGGGUGGACGGCCACAUUGGGACUGAGAGACGGCCCAGACUCCUACGGGAGGCAGCAGUGGGGAAUAUUGCACAAGGGGCGCAAGCCUGAUGCAGCGACGCCGCGGGGGGGAUGACGGCCUUCGGGUUGUAAACUCCUUUCGCUAGGGACGAAGCUUUUUGUGACGGUACCUAGAUAAGAAGCACCGGCUAACUACGUG